rnacentral:rRNA from 1 species
GACGUAGGGCGCGAGCGUUGUCCGGAUUUAUUGGGCGUAAAGAGCUCGUUAGGCGGCUUGUCGCGUCGACUGUGAAAUCCCGCGGCUCAACUGCGGGUCUGCAGUCGAUACGGGCAGGCGUAGAGUUCGGUAGGGGAGACUGGAAUUCCUGGUGUAGCGGUGAAAUGCGCAGAUAUCAGGAGGAACACCGGUGGCGAAGGCGGGUCUCUGGGGCCGAGUACUGACGCUGAGGAGCGAAAGCGUGGGGAGCGAACAGGAU